AUAAUAUAAAAAAAUAACUCAUAUAUUCCCGAAAUACGGUUGGGAGUUUCUACGAUUAACCUUAAAUUAAUCUCUAUGAGUGAUAAAUUUAAU
rnacentral:ncRNA from 1 species